rnacentral:rRNA from 1 species
AGCAUAUCAAUAAGCGGAGGAAAAGAAACCAACAGGGAUUGCCCUAGUAACGGCGAGUGAAGCGGCAACAGCUCAAAUUUGAAAUCUGGCUCUCUUUGGGGGUCCGAGUUGUAAUUUGCAGAGGAUGCUUUGGCAUUGGCGGCGGUCUAAGUUCCUUGGAACAGGACAUCACAGAGGGUGAGAAUCCCGUACGUGGUCGCCUGCCUUUGCCGUGUAAAGCUCCUUCGACGAGUCGAGUUGUUUGGGAAUGCAGCUCUAAAUGGGAGGUAAAUUUCUUCUAAAGCUAAAUACUGGCCAGAGACCGAUAGCGCACAAGUAGAGUGAUCGAAAGAUGAAAAGUACUUUGGAAAGAGAGUCAAAAAGCACGUGAAAUUGUUGAAAGGGAAGCGCUUGCAGCCAGACUUGCCCGCAGUUGCUCACCUAGGCUUUGGCCUGGGGCACUCUUCUGCGGGCAGGCCAGCAUCAGUUUGGGCGGUUGGAUAAAGGCCUCUGUCACGUAUCUCCCUUCGGGGUGACCUUAUAGGGGAGGCGCAAUGCAACCAGCCCGGACUGAGGUCCGCGCAUCUGCUAGGAUGCUGGCGUAAUGGCUGUAAGCGGCCCGUCUUGAAACACGGACCAAGGAGUCUAACAUCUAUGCGAGUGUUUGGGUGUCAAGCCCGAGCGCGCAAUGAAAGUGAACGGAGGUGGGAACCCUUUGGGUGCACCAUCGACCGAUCCUGAUGUCUUCGGAUGGAUUUGAGUAAGAGCAUAGCUGUUGGGACCCGAAAGAUGGUGAACUAUGCUUGAAUAGGGUGAAGCCAGAGGAAACUCUGGUGGAGGCUCGCAGCGGUUCUGACGUGCAAAUCGAUCGUCAAAUUUGGGCAUAGGGGCGAAAGACUAAUCGAACC